CCCUUAGAUGUCCUGGGCCGCACGCGUGCUACACUGACGCAUACAGCGAGUACUUUCUGGGUCCGAAAGGUCUCCCAGUAAUCAGCAAUAUGCGUCGUGAUGGGGAUAGUACUUUGGAAUUCUUGUACUUGAACGAGGAAUGCCUAGUAAGCGCAAGUCAUUAGCUUGCACUGAUUAAGUCCCUGCCCUUUGUACACACCGCCCGUCGCUCCUACCGAUUUCGAGUGAUCCGGUGAACCUUUUGGACGGCGUGGGUCUUCUGGUCCGCGCCGAAAAUCAAGUAAACCACAUCACUUAGAGGAAGGAGAAGUCGUAACA
rnacentral:rRNA from 1 species